rnacentral:rRNA from 1 species
UUACGCUGUUAUCCCUAAGGUAAUUAAUUUUAAAAUUUUAAUUUUAGAGAUUUAAAAUUCAAUAAUUUGUGUCUUAUUUUUAAAAAAUUUAUAAAAUUUUUCAUUUCCCCAAUUAAAUUAAAUAAAUAUAAAUUUUAAAAUAAUUAUUUUUUAUUUAUAUUUAUUUAAUAAAAUUCUAUAGGGUCUUAUCGUCUUUUAAUAAAAUUUAAGAAUUUUAACUUAAAUUUUAAAUUUAAUUAUUUAUUUAAUUCAUACAGUUAAUUUUUCAUUAAAUCUUUCAUUCUAGUUUUUAAUUAAAAAAGAAAUUAUUAUGCUACCUUUGUACAGUUAUGUAUACUGCAGCCAUUAAAAUUUAUCAUUGGGCAGAUUUUACUUAAAAUUAAAAUCUAUAAGACAUGUUUUUGUUAAACAGGCG